UGCAAGCGUUGCUCGGAAUUACUGGGCGUAAAGCGUACSCWKGCUGUCCGUUAAGUCGGGUGUGAAAGCCCGGGGCUCAACCCCGGAAUUGCGCCCGAAACUGGCGGGCUUGAGUGCGGGAGAGGGAAGCGGAAUUCCUGGUGUAGAGGUGAAAUUCGUAGAUAUCAGGAGGAACACCGGUGGCGAAAGCGGCUUCCUGGCCCGACACUGACGCUCAUGUACGAAAGCGUGGGGAGCAAACAGGAUUAGAUACCCUGGUAGUCCACGCCGUAAACGAUGAGUGCUAGCUGCUGGGAAUGUCUACCGUCUCAGUGGCGAAGCUAACGCAUUAAGCACUCCGCCUGGGAAGUACGGCCGCAAGGCUA
rnacentral:rRNA from 1 species